rnacentral:rRNA from 1 species
GGGGGGGGCAAGCGUUGUUCGGAAUUACUGGGCGUAAAGGGCUCGUAGGCGGCCAACUAAGUCAGACGUGAAAUCCCUCGGCUUAACCGGGGAACUGCGUCUGAUACUGGAUGGCUUGAGUUUGGGAGAGGGAUGCGGAAUUCCAGGUGUAGCGGUGAAAUGCGUAGAUAUCUGGAGGAACACCGGUGGCGAAGGCGGCAUCCUGGACCAACACUGACGCUGAGGAGCGAAAGCCAGGGGAGCAAACGGGAUUAGAUACCCCGGUAGUCCUAGCCGUAAACGAUGGACACUAGGUGUUGGUGGUAUCAACCCCGCCAGUGCCGAAGCUAACGCAUUAAGUGUCCCGCCUGGGGAGUACGGCCGCAAGGCUA